UCAGAUAGCUAAAUCCGCUGUCCGACGCUUAGAAAAGAUAUCGAAGAUUAAGAACAUCUAUCGCAGCACAAAAAU